CGCGCAGGCGGCCAGGUCAGUCGAAUGUGAAAGCCCCCGGCUCAACUGGGGAGGGUCAUUCGAUACUGCCUGGCUUGAAGAUAGGAGAGGGAAGUGGAAUUUCAGGUGUAGUGGUGAAAUGCGUAGAUAUCUGAAGGAACACCAGUGGCGAAGGCGACUUUCUGGCCUAUUCUUGACGCUGAGGCGCGAAAGCUAGGGGAGCGAACA
rnacentral:rRNA from 1 species